rnacentral:rRNA from 1 species
AGUCGAGGGGUAACAGGGUUUUCGGACCGCUGACGACCGGCGCACGGGUGCGUAACGCGUAUGCAACCUACCUUUAACUGGAGGAUAGCCCCGAGAAAUCGGGAUUAAUACUCCAUAGUAAUGAGAUUCGGCAUCGUUUUUCAUUUAAAGCUCCGGCGGUUAAAGAUGGCAUGCGUGACAUUAGUUAGUUGGUGAGGUAACGGCUCACCAAGACUACGAUGCCUAGGGGUUCUGAGAGGAUGAUCCCCCACACUGGUACUGAGACACGGACCAGACUCCUACGGGAGGCAGCAGUGAGGAAUAUUGGUCAAUGGACGCAAGUCUGAACCAGCCAUGCCGCGUGCAGGAUGACGGCCCUAUGGGUUGUAAACUGCUUUUAUUAAGGAAUAACUCCCCGGUCGAGCAUCGGGGCUGAACGUACUUAAAGAAUAAGCAUCGGCUAACUCCGUGCCAGCAGCCGCGGUAAUACGGAGGAUGCAAGCGUUAUCCGGAUUCAUUGGGUUUAAAGGGUUCGCAGGCGGCGUAUUAAGUCAGUGGUGAAAUCCCUCGGCUCAACCGAGGAACUGCCAUUGAUACUGGUAUGCUAGAGUAUAGUUGGCGUAGGCGGAAUAUUUCAUGUAGCGGUGAAAUGCUUAGAUAUGAAAUAGAACACCGAUCGCGAAGGCAGCUUACGAAGCUAUAACUGACGCUCAGGAACGAAAGCGUGGGGAGCGAACAGGAUUAGAUACCCUGGUAGUCCACGCUGUAAACGAUGAUUACUCGUUGUCGGCGAUACACUGUCGGCGGCUAAGCGAAAGUGAUAAGUAAUCCACCUGGGGAGUACGAUCGCAAGGUUGAAACUCAAAGGAAUUGACGGGGGCCCGCACAAGCGGAGGAGCAUGUGGUUUAAUUCGAUGAUACGCGAGGAACCUUACCUGGGGCUAAAUGUAGAGUGCAUGAGUGGGAAACCAUUCUUUCUUCGGGACUCUUUACAAGUGCUGCAU